CAUUGUUUUUUAAUUAAAACUAGAAUGAAAGGUUUAACGUUAAAAUUAUUUUAUUAUAAAUAUUAAUUUAAUUUUUAUUAAAUAUAAAAAUAUAUUUAUUAAAUAAAUAGACGACAAGACCCUAUUGAACUUUACUACUGUUUAACUGGGGAAGUUAAAUAAUAAUCAUUUUAUUUAUUUUUAUACUAAAAUUUUCUAAUCUAAUUAAAUUUAACAAGUUACCAUAGGGAUAACAGCGUAAUAUUAUUCUAAAGUUCUUAUUUAAAAUAAUGUUUGCGACCUCGAUGUUGAAUUAUUUUUCUAUAUAUAUAUAAUGCAAUAAUUAUAAAAGUAGGUCUGUUCGACCUUUAAUAUUUUACAUGAUUUGAGUUCAAACCGGUAUAAGCCAGGUUGGUUUCUAUCUUUUUUAUUAUUUUUCUAGUACGAAAGGACAAAAAAAUAUAUUAUUAAUAAUAUAUUAGCAAAUAAUUGCAUUAGAAUUAGAAUCUAAUUAUUCUAA
rnacentral:rRNA from 1 species